AUCCAGAUGACGAGUCUAAAACAGGACGAAAUGCACAUACUGGAU
rnacentral:hammerhead_ribozyme from 1 species